GACGAGGUGGCCGAGUGGUUUAAGGCGUUGGACUGCUAAUCCAAUAGGGUCUCCCUGCGUGGGUUCGAAUCCCAUCCUCGUCG